UGUGUGUGUGUGUGUGUGUGUGUGUGAGAAUAAAAUGAAGGUGUGUGAGAGUCAAUCAGAGUAUGUAUAUGUGUGCUUUGAGCAUCUAAGCAUGUCUAUGCAUCUUGCACGUAGGGAGUGUCUGUUUGAGGGGAACUGGCCGUUUGUUUGUCUGAUAGAUCGGGUUUGGCGGCGCCCUUGCUGUGCAUGUCAGAUGGUAAGGGUGUGUGUGUGUGUGUGUGUGUGUGUGUGUGUGUGUGUGUGUGUGUGUGUGUGUGUGUGUGUGUGUCACAUCACAAAGGUGUAUGUGUGUUGGACUGUGGAGUGCAGGUGGCAGUGAAGGUCACUGUUUGGAGCAGAGAUCGGUCUGGGCUGGUGAUGCAUCCUGAUGGAAAGAGCCUUGGAGGAGGACCAGUGGCCCAAUCAGGCAUUAGGUGUGAGAGAGAGAGGAUGAAUAACAUGUGGGAGUCUUUCUGGGUGUCACCUCCAUGCCAGAGGACAGGUAGUACUUGUAUACUAGAGAGGCGACGGAAAAACCAACUCAUUUUCCUGGGGAUGAGGAUCAGAGAGCGAAGAAGGCGAAGGAAGCUGUGCUCGAGAGCGAACAGCCGAGGCUUGCGUGACAACCCCCCACGUAUACAAAGAAAUCCCACUCAAGCUCCUCUACUUCUUUCUCUCAAGCAAGACCCCCCAUCUCCCCACCCCACCAACAGCCUCAAGGGCUGAGGAAGAUCAUACCUCUCCACGUCCCCAUGGACGGGGCCCGAGGUCCCACGGGUCCCCGAGAAUAGUGAGCCGUGCCUGGGUCUAUCAGCUCGAUCAAAGGGGCCUGGUGCUGGAGAUUACCUUGCGAAUGGGUCCUCAUGACGGGGGUCUCAGUUAGUCGCAGAUGGCCCAGGCCCUCAUGGAGAGGCUGGGAUUGGAUGGGAAGGGAUGGGAUGAGAAGACGACCCCCAGGCACCUCAGGAGCGGCACCAUUGGCUAGGAAAGGGGUAGGCCUAUUAGGCGGAAAUGGACGAGUUAGCAUGUCUUGGGACGUGUGCCUUCUUGAAGAUUGUCUUUCUAAAAUGGAGCUGGCCCUGCUCCGCACCGGCUCCUCCUGGGAAAUGGUCAUAGAUGUGCUGCCCAUCUGGCCGGGUUUAAGACUCCUCCUUGAGCACCGAAACAGGGUCUUUGAGAUGCAGCCUCAAAAACAAUGGUCUAAAAAAAAUGUGUUUGGCUCCAGCGUCCUUUUGAAUUACGGACUGCACUGUUGUUUGGUGUGGCUUCAAUGAGUAGGAAGAAUUUAUUGCCUUGGCUAGGUGUUGCGUGUUAUUGCUGACGAACCGCAUUUGAAAAUCCCUUUGCUCUGCAUUUCAAUUACGGUUAAUUCCUGUCAUGCUCUUUGCACUCAGCCCCCAUACUUUCUGUGCAAAC
ensembl:lncRNA